rnacentral:rRNA from 1 species
GCCAGCAGCACGUUGAAAACACGUUUCCCGUGGAUCACUGAAGCAACGUUGCGCGUGGUUAGUAUCCGGAUGGGUGACCAUGAGGGCAACCGCGUGCUGUUGGCU